rnacentral:rRNA from 1 species
ACUCCUACGGGAGGCAGCAGUGGGGAAUUUUGGACAAUGGGCGCAAGCCUGAUCCAGCAAUGCCGCGUGAGUGAAGAAGGCCUUCGGGUUGUAAAGCUCUUUCAGUCGAGAAGAAAAGGCUGCAGUGAAUAACUGUAGUUUAUGACGGUAUCGACAGAAGAAGCACCGGCUAACUACGUGCCAGCAGCCGCGGUAAU